CAGCUCCUCUCCAUCACUCUGC
rnacentral:miRNA from 1 species